UAGAGGUUUCUGAUGUGUUUUAAGAACUGCUUCCCUGAGUGCACUCCUGAGCUCAUUAGUCUGAACUUUUUUCACUCUUGAUUGUAGAAUUUUCCACAUGAGGAAAAAGAGAAAGGCUGGAAUCAGUAAUUCACUGAGAAGACACCACCAAUCCUUUAUCCAGGCAAGUGAAAUACUUCAAAUAAGACUUAGAGAUGGACAAUGAUUGUGAAAGAUAUAAAAAAACUGAACAAGAUGGAACAAGACA